ACUUUAACUUACGCCAGCCCACCUCCAAGUGAUAUGACCCCGCCCUGUCUACAGUAAGAACCUUACAGGACACAAUUGGAAACAUUAUUUAAUUCCCAAGACUUUGACUGGAAGGUAUUAUUUGAGAAUGUGCAUAGACUCAGAUAUGACCAGACAGUUUGGAAAACCAACCUAGUAGCCUGUUUACAGGGUUCCUGGCAGCCUUAUCAGAAACACCUCUUAUUAAAAACCUGUUGCAAGUAUGUGCACCAGGUAGGCCUAACUUGGGGACCCUACCUGCAUCGCCACUUCCUGAAAUGAGACACAGCCUCUCAUUGAACUGACCUGCUCUCGGGACUAAGAGAGGGUUCAAUGAGAUAAAGACCACCCAGUAACUCAGGACAGGUUCAAACCUUCGUACACCAGGUGGCCAAGACAAUAAAGUAGUUCACAGUGCCACCCAGAUCUUUGACCUGAUUUUUCGGGCCCCCAAGGUCACUGACUUAGUUUUAUCGCAGGACACUUCAAAUCUGGGACAGUGGAUACAGACUAGAUUUCAGACUACCGUCUGUGUAUUUAUUAUAGGAUUUGUGACUAGAAUCCUAUUUAGAUAUGUGCUUUCUGAGUUACAGUGCACCCUACCCCUGACUUAGCACAUCAGCUACCGAGGCAGUUACGUUCUCACCAUCCUCACCUUUGACUGAUGGCUUGGCGUCACAGGGGGGGUG